CACGUAGGGCGCAAGCGUUGUCCGGAAUUAUUGGGCGUAAAGAGCUCGUAGGUGGUUUGUUACGUCCGCUGUGAAAUCCUAGGGCUUAACCCUGGGCUUGCAGUGGAUACGGGCAGACUAGAGGUAGGUAGGGGAGAAUGGAAUUCCUGGUGUAGCGGUGAAAUGCGCAGAUAUCAGGAGGAACACCGAUGGCGAAGGCAGGUCUCUGGGCCACUACUGACGCUGAGAAGCGAAAGCAUGGGGAGCGAACAGG
rnacentral:rRNA from 1 species